rnacentral:rRNA from 1 species
AACGAACGCUGGCGGCAGGCUUAACACAUGCAAGUCGAACGCCCCGCAAGGGGAGUGGCAGACGGGUGAGUAACGCGUGGGAACAUACCCUUUUCUACGGAAUAGCUCUGGGAAACUGGAAUUAAUACCGUAUACGCCCUACGGGGGAAAGAUUUAUCGGGGAAGGAUUGGCCCGCGUUGGAUUAGCUAGUUGGUGGGGUAAAGGCCUACCAAGGCGACGAUCCAUAGCUGGUCUGAGAGGAUGAUCAGCCACAUUGGGACUGAGACACGGCCCAAACUCCUACGGGAGGCAGCAGUGGGGAAUAUUGGACAAUGGGCGCAAGCCUGAUCCAGCCAUGCCGCGUGAGUGAUGAAGGCCUUAGGGUUGUAAAGCUCUUUCACCGAUGAAGAUAAUGACGGUAGUCGGAGGAGAAGCCCCGGCUAACUUCGUG